rnacentral:rRNA from 1 species
GACGAACGCUGGCGGCGUGCCUAAUACAUGCAAGUCGAGCGGACGGAUGGGAGCUUGCUCCCAGACCGUCAGCGGCGGACGGGUGAGUAACACGUGGGCAACCUGCCUGUAAGACUGGGAUAACUCCGGGAAACCGGGGCUAAUACCGGAUAACUCUUUCCCUCACAUGAGGGAAAGCUGAAAGAUGGCCUCUCGCUAUCACUUACAGAUGGGCCCGCGGAGCAUUAGCUAGUUGGUGAGGUAACGGCUCACCAAGGCGACGAUGCGUAGCCGACCUGAGAGGGUGAUCGGCCACACUGGGACUGAGACACGGCCCAGACUCCUACGGGAGGCAGCAGUAGGGAAUCUUCCGCAAUGGACGAAAGUCUGACGGAGCAACGCCGCGUGAGUGAUGAAGGUUUUCGGAUCGUAAAACUCUGUUGUCAGGGAAGAACAAGUACCGGAGUAACUGCCGGUACCUUGACGGUACCUGACCAGAAAGCCACGGCUAACUACGUG